rnacentral:rRNA from 1 species
ACUUAAGCAUAUCAAUAAGCGGAGGAAAAGAAACCAACAGGGAUUGCCCCAGUAACGGCGAGUGAAGCGGCAACAGCUCAAAUUUGAAAUCUGGCCCCUUGGGGUCCGAGUUGUAAUUUGUAGAGGAUGCUUUUGAUGAGGCGCCGCCUGAGUUCCCUGGAACGGGACGCCAUAGAGGGUGAGAGCCCCGUCUGGCUGGCCGCCGAGUCUCUGUAAAGCUCCUUCGACGAGUCGAGUAGUUUGGGAAUGCUGCUCAAAAUGGGAGGUAUAUGUCUUCUAAAGCUAAAUACCGGCCAGAGACCGAUAGCGCACAAGUAGAGUGAUCGAAAGAUGAAAAGCACUUUGAAAAGAGGGUUAAAUAGUACGUGAAAUUGUUGAAAGGGAAGCACUUGUGACCAGACUUGGGCUUGGCGAAUCAUCCGGCGUUCUCGCCGGUGCACUUUGCCUCGUCCAGGCCAGCAUCAGUUCGUCGCGGGGGACAAAGGCUUCGGGAACGUGGCUCCUCCGGGAGUGUUAUAGCCCGCUGCGUAAUACCCUGCGGUGGACUGAGGUUCGCGCAUCUGCAAGGAUGCUGGCGUAAUGGUCAUCAGUGACCCGUCUUGAAACACGGACCAAGGAGUCGUCUUCGUAUGCGAGUGUUCGGGUGUCAAACCCCUACGCGUAAUGAAAGUGAACGCAGGUGAGAGCUUCGGCGCAUCAUCGACCGAUCCUGAUGUUCUCGGAUGGAUUUGAGUAAGAGCAUACGGGGCCGGACCCGAAAGAAGGUGAACUAUGCCUGUAUAGGGUGAAGCCAGAGGAAACUCUGGUGGAGGCUCGCAGCGGUUCUGACGUGCAAAUCGAUCGUCAAAUAUGGGCAUGGGGGCGAAAGACUAAUCGAACCUUCUAGUAGCUGGUUUCCGCCGAAGUUUCCCUCAGGAU